GUACUGAGUCAUCUUCACAGAGCGGACCUUCAUGGCAACAUCAUCGCCAUGCCACGUGGCCUGCCACAGAUGGCGCGCGUCCCAGAAGGCCGUUCGCAUGGCGGCGUCCGAACCUCCGUCUGACCAGGGCUGGGUGUAGGGCUGGUUGGUGUUGGCGUGGUUGAACCAGGCCCCUCCCACACCCAGGCUGAGGAUCAGGCAGGCCCAUAGUGCACCGUGGAGUAGUCCACGCCAGCCCCCAUCGUCCAGCCCUCAGGGGAGUGGUAGUGAAGGUUGCCUGCAAACCACACACACUUUGACCUUUUCCUCUCCACUCAUUUGUAAGGAGGUGGAGUCGAGGCUACUCCUCUUCACCUUUCUCUGAAAUAGGAAUGAAGACACCAUCAGACAGCUUUGAUGUCGACAAUUCUACCUGAGACGGGGCCAGUGCUUACCUCUCGCCUCCAUGAUGUCGAUCUCCCC